AGUGAACGCUGGCGGUAGGCCUAACACAUGCAAGUCGAACGACAGCACAGUAAGAGCUUGCUCUUACGGGUGGCGAGUGUCGGACGGGUCACUAAUACAUCGGAUUCUUCUUUUUCGUGGGUGAUAACGUAGGGAAACUUACGCUAAUACCGCAUACGUCCUACGGGUGAAUGCAGGGGUUCUUCGGACUUUUCGCGAUUGUAUGAGCCGAUGUCGGAUUAGCUAGUUGGCGGGGUAAAGGCCCACCAAGGCGACGAUCCGUAGUUGGUCUGACAGGAUGAACAGACACAUGGGAACUGAGACAGGGUCCAGACUCCUACGGGAGGAAGCAGUGGGGAAUAUUGAGCAAGGGGCGAAAGCCUGAUAGAGCAAAACCGCGUGAGUGAUGAAGGACUUCGGGUUGUAAAGCCCUGUUGUUGGGAAAGAAGAAAAGCGGGUUUAAACCGGGCUGUAAUGACGGUACCGAAAGAAUAAGCACCGGCUAACUCCGUG
rnacentral:rRNA from 1 species